CCUACGGGUGGCAGCAGUGAGGAAUAUUGGUCAAUGGCCGUAAGGCUGAACCAGCCAAGUAGCGUGAGGGAAGAAUGUCCUACGGGUUGUAAACUUUGUUUGACAGGGAGAAAUUGGGUCCACGCGUGGGCUUAGCGAGAGUACCUGAAGUAAAAGCAUCGGCUAACUCCGUGACAGCAGCCGCGGUAAUACGGAGGGUCCGAGCGUUAUUCGGUUUUAUUGGGUUUAAAGGCAGCGUAGAUGGGUUGUUAAUGCAGUUGUGAAAGUUUGCGGCUCAACCGUAAAAUUGCAAUUGAUACUGGCAGUCUAGAGUACAGUUGAGGUAGGCGGAAUUCGUGGUGUAGCGGUGAAAUGCUUAGAUAUCACGAAGAACCCCGAUUGCGAAGGCAGCUUACUAAACUGUGACUGACAUUGAUGCUCGAAAGUGUGGGUAUCAAACAGGAUUAGAUACCCGUGUAGUC
rnacentral:rRNA from 1 species